UUUAUCUUCUGGAGCUUUCUUUCUUAAGCUUUGGCCAUUUGUUUUUGUAUUGACCUAUUUCCUUACAUUCAUAGCAUGUUACCUCUUUGUUUAAUUUUCUUCUAGAAGUUGAUUAUGAGCGAUCUCCCUUGGGUCUUGGUCUUCUAAAGUUGUUAUUCCUUUUUCUCCAGAGUUGUUUUACUCUUCUAGUCAAAAGGGAUAACUCUUCUUCAUCGUGAUGAGUCUUCC
rnacentral:lncRNA from 1 species